AUACGUAGGGUGCAAGCGUUAAUCGGAAUUACUGGGCGUAAAGGGUGCGCAGGCGGUUUUGUAAGGCAGACGUGAAAUUCCACGGGGGAACCUGGGUAGUGACUUUGGGGCUGCAAGGCUAGAGUGAGGGAGAGGGGGACGGAAUUCCGGGUGGAAUGGUGAAAUGCGUAGAUAUACGGAGGAACACCGAUGGCGAAGGCAAUCCCCUGGGCCUGUACUGACGUUCAUGCACGAAAGCGUGGGGAGCAAACAGGAUUAGAUACCCUGGUAGUCCACGCCUUAAACGAUGUCAACUGGUUGUUGGGUCUUCAUUGACUCAGUAACGAAGCUAACGCGUGAAGUUGACCGCCUGGGGAGUACGGCCGCAAGGUUGAAACUCAAAUGAAUUGGCGGGG
rnacentral:rRNA from 1 species